AACGUAGGUGGCGAGCGUUAUCCGGAUUUACUGGGCGUAAAGCGUGCGCAGGCGGUGAUGUAAGACAGGUGUGAAAUCCCCGGGCUUAACCUGGGAACUGCAUUUGUGACUGCAUCGCUGGAGUGCGGCAGAGGGGGAUGGAAUUCCGCGUGUAGCAGUGAAAUGCGUAGAUAUGCGGAGGAACACCGAUGGCGAAGGCAAUCCCCUGGGCCUGCACUGACGCUCAUGCACGAAAGCGUGGGGAGCAAACAGG
rnacentral:rRNA from 1 species